UUAAUAUUUUGUAUGUUAACUACUUGUCAAUUAUCCACAUUCUAUUACUGUAAAGUGCUAGAAAAUAUGUUGGCGCUUUUUUAAAUAAUAACAAAAUCAGUAAAGUCACAGGCAGUUAUUGUACAGAAUUUAAAUCAAUGCCUCUAGAUAGUUGAAAUUAAUCCCAGCAGAUACAUUUUUCCACUCUUCAUUGGCAAGUGAAAGUUUAGCCCUGGCUAGUAGAAAUUCACCCUUGUGAGGGCUCAAUAAGCUCUCCAGGCUUGCAUUGGUGAGUAACUUUUUUUUAAAGCCUGGCUAGCAGCAUAGGACUUAAAAUAUAAAGUCCUGGAUUGACAAAAUGUUUAUACACCUAGA